rnacentral:rRNA from 1 species
UACGUAGGGUGCAAGCGUUAAUCGGAAUUACUGGGCGUAAAGCGUGCGCAGGCGGUUGUGCAAGACCGAUGUGAAAUCCCCGGGCUUAACCUGGGAAUGGCAUUGGUGACUGCACGGCUAGAGUGUGUCAGAGGGGGGUAGAAUUCCACGUGUAGCAGUGAAAUGCGUAGAGAUGUGGAGGAAUACCGAUGGCGAAGGCAGCCCCCUGGGAUAACACUGACGCUCAUGCACGAAAGCGUGGGGAUCAAACAGG